CCAACCUGAACUUCCCCUGAUAGGGCUAGAGGCUAUGUCCUCUUGUCCUGCUGUUAGUUGCCUGUGAGAAGAGACAGACACCUGGCUACACCCUUCCUUUCAGGCACUUGUAGAGAGUGAUGAGAUCCUCCCUGAGCCUCCUUUACUUCAGGCUAAACAUCCUCAGCUCCAUCAGCAACUUUUCAUAGCACUUACACUCUAGACCUUUCAGCAGCUCCAUUGCCCUUCUUUGGACAUGUUCCAGCACCUCUUUCUUGCAUUGAGGGCUCCAGAACUGAACACAGGAUUUGAGGACAUUGAUAAGCAUAUUUAAAGAAAGCUGGGCCCUACACAGAUCCCUGAGGGACUCCCAGUGAGCAGCUACCAGCUGGAUGCAGCAUCAUUCAUCACUCUCUGGGCCCAGCCAUCCAGCCAGUUCUCAACCCAGUGAAGGGUGCACCUGUCCAAGCCAUGGGCUACCAGCUUUUACAGGAGAGCACUGUGAGAAACAGUGUCCAAGGCUUGGUGAAGUCCAGGAUCCUCUCCUCUGGACAUGAGGAAGAUGGAGAAUUGAAGAACUCCCAGAAAUGAGGAACAACUAAAUUAUAACACCAAAUUCAAAAGUAAUU